rnacentral:tRNA from 1 species
AUUCAGUGGUUAGAAUGUUGGCCCUCAGACCCAAGGGUCUUGGGUUCAAUUCCCAG